rnacentral:misc_RNA from 1 species
GAAUAUCAAAGAGACAACGUUGAAGGUGCCCUUCGGGUUUUGAUGGCAUUCAUCUACAAGCAACAACAGAAAGAUUACAGCCAUCAUUUCCUUUCUUCUGAACCAUUUUGUUAUUCAUACUUGACAUAUAUUAUACAUGAUUAUGCAAAUUUCAGUAUAUUAAUUUUAAAAACAAAAAUAUUUAUAUUCCACAGCAACACGCG